rfam:Schistosoma margrebowiei strain Zambia genome assembly, scaffold: SMRZ_scaffold0000573
AUCUAGAUGACGAGUCCCAAUUAGAACGAAACGCAUGUCCUGGAU